CCGCGCUCCCGCCGCCCUCCGGCCCGGACGCAGAGGCGGCGGCUGCCGUGAGCGGCCCGGUGUGUAACGGGAGGCGGCAGCGGCCGUGCCGUGCAGCGCCCGGGCCAGGCCUGCUCGCUGCCUUCGGCCGAGCUCGGCUCGAUUCGGCCCAGCUCGGGUGAAGGAAAGAGCCCAGACUCCAUAAUUAAGUCAAUCCCCUGGCAUAAGGGACGAUGGACAUCAAGUGCUAUUCACCUCUUCUGAGUAAAUGAAGAAAGGGACUAUGAAGACGCAACAUCUGCCUUCUGUUUUCAUCAAUGAAGAGAAGGUCAUAACCAGCAGCUGAUUUUCCAGACACCGAGCUCCCACCAGCACCAGGACAGAAGUGGAAACUCACGGGUUCUCUAUCAAUGGCCACCUUACGACCACGAGGCAGGAAAUUUUAGGCUUGGCUUUGUCACCUGAGGGACAGGGAGCCCUGCCCAGUGAGGUGUGCCUCAGGCCCAGGCCGCGGUGUGGCUGUUCCCGCUCCCAGACAUCAGUUUUCACUCGGCUUUUGGGGCAGAAACCGAAAUAAGGAUCAAC